rnacentral:sRNA from 1 species
CCAUUCCUUGUUUGCGGUGAGCAGGUCGGCCUUUUAUCCGCUGGUCGGAGGGCAGAAAGCCUAAAGCAAUCAAUACCGGGCACCCACCUUGAACAAAGGUUCAAAAAGGUGAUUAACACGGCAUAAGCGGGGGUUUU